AACCUCUUUGGACUGUCCACAGCAGCUGACUAUGAUUUGCCUCAUGCUCUAGCAGAGGCAAGGUUUUACCUGCUGUAGAUAGUUUCUACAAUUGUGUAAUGUUUGGAAUUCUAGGAAGUUUUCAGAGGGUAUAGAAAUGCUAGAGCUCCUUUAGGCGGGGAGGGUGGCUGUUGUUCAUUUAAUGAGGUUGGUUGAAGUUUUUUAGUAGCAUGGUCAAGAAGAAACAAUUUAGAUGCAGAGAUUUUGCUAAUUUCUCUCUCUCCUCUCUCCGUGUUUCUCUCCUUUCUAGUGUUAGGGGUUGAAACAGGGAUUAAUGGGUAGGAAAAAGAAGAACCCCUGAAGAAGGAAAGACAGGCUACGCUGAUCAGCAUCUGGAUUAGAUGUGCCUUUAACUUACAUCUUCAGGCCUGGUUGGAUUUGUCAGGAUAUAAGGACAUUGAAAAUCAAUGAUUCCAGAACAAUCACGAGGACUUCUAGCACACCCAGACUGAUCUGCAGAAAAAUUGAAUCCAUUUCCUGGAAAAGAAGUCCCAUUCAAUGCAGCAAGAUCAGAGAAUAUGGAGUGGAGAGAUGGCUCAGUCAUGAAGAGCACGUAUUGUUAUGGAAGAGGACCUGAUUUCAAUUCCCAGCACCCACCUUGGUGGCUCACAACUGGCUGUAACUCCAGUUCCACAGAAUCUACCACCCUUGAUUUACCUUCUCACGGACCAAUGAGUGCACGUGUGGACAUGUCCACAGGAUUUUCUGUAGCCUGUGAGGAAGUCCUAGAUUUAGGACACUGGAUCUGUACACCUUAGAGAAUUAACCACUUCACUGCAUUUUUUUUUGUUUUUUUUGUUUUUUUUUGGUUUCUGUUUUUCUUUUGAGAUAUCACUGUGGGAGCAGAGGAAGCCCCAAGGAAGUGAAGCCCUGAGUGGAUGUGUGCAGUAAGCAUGAGCAUGUCCAUGCCAAGGACACAAAGCCAUUUAUCCAUGGGGAAAAGGCAAAGGCCCCCAUGCCCCUUGAGGCUCAGAGACAUGCCAAAUCCUUCUCAGGAUGGUGUUGAUAGUGUGUGCAGAAAAAGUCUACUCUACCUUUUUCCCUGGCCCCAUCUGGAUAUUUACAGCCUGAAGACUGCUCCCUGCAGAGACUGCUCCUACUGAGAUUAGUUAAAUCUGCCCCUUGUCAUUUACAUAUACAUAGUCCUCCCCUCCUUGUUUAUCUGCAAGUAAUGCCCACCUCCUUGCUGCUGUGUGCAACAAUCCUGCUUCCUGGCCAACUAUAUUAUAAACAUGCUUAGCUUCUGGGAUACUGCAUUUUCUCCAGCCCUUGGACCCAGCCUUCCCCAAGUAUGUGUGUCCAAUCUCAUUCUUCAUUGGACUUGGCAAUCUCAGUCUGCUCCACUUUGAAGGAAGUGCUUACUAAACUGAAUACUAAAGGACACAGUGGAUUAAGCUCCCUAUCAAGUGUCUUUGGUGAGGGUUGGGGUGGGUGUGAGACCAGUUACAUUCUGACUAUUGCAGAAGAGUAAAGGAUUCACAGUUUGCUUUUGGUAAAGGUAAGCUCCCCAAGAGGCUGUCAUUGCCAACCUUUUCCCAAGUCACUUCUAGGAGGUCAACUAACUCCUAGGUGAGUCCUUGGUUACACUGCUUCAGUUUUCUGUGGCUACACUGUCCAAAUGGUACCCACUGCUCACACAUGGCUAUUUGAGAUGAACUAAACUUAGAACUAAAAUCUUCCUCUUUAGUCACAGCAGGCAAAGCAGGAGGCAAACAGCCAGCCAGAAUCCAUAGCCAGAAGCACAGCAGAUAUUGAAUAUUUCUAUCAUCUAGAAAUUACUCAUGGACAGCAGUGGUCUAGGUUCCUGCUGUCUGGUUUUUCCUUCAGGGAGAAUUACUUGCUGUACCAAUAUCCAAAGGUUUAUUUUUAAAACAACUUUACCAAAGUAUGACUUACUAUCCCCUAAAUUAAUCCAGUUUAAGUCUACAAUGCAAUGGUUCCUCAUAAAUCUACCCAAGUUCAUCGCAAGACCACGGAAC
rnacentral:sRNA from 1 species